AACAUCGCGCACCUGCGGGAACCUGCGGAGGGAUCAUUACCGAGUGUGAACCCCCCCGUAAAAAAGAGGGGUUACCUCCCGUCCUUUGCUGGGAACCCCUUUCCAACUUGGAAGGAGGUUGUUUUCAGACCCUUCUGCUUCGGUGGGGUAACCCACCGGAACAACCUCAAAAAUAUUCUCAAUUCAAAACCGUUCAGUCCGAGAACUUUUUUGAAAAGCGAAAAAACUUUUAACAAUGGA
rnacentral:misc_RNA from 1 species